AUGACGACAGUCAGGCAUCAACAACAUGGCCACGUGUCCGUCUAUGACUUCUUAGGACCAGAGCUCGCGAGGACCACCACUUGCGAGUGCCGCGACCUCCCGGAGCCCGUGCUGCUCGCGGGGUGCGUGCCGCUACACGACGCCGAUCUCCUCGAGCCCCUCCAGAACCGUUCUGACCCCGUGUACCAGCUCAUGAUCGACCUCGGGCGCAACUACCUCCUCGCGGAAGGUUUCAUCGUCAACACCAUGGACGCGUUGGAGCACGAGACGCUGGUGGCAUACAAAGAGCUUUCUAACAAGGGCGUGUACCCACCGGCAUACGCUGUGGGUCCAUUCACCCGGCGGUGGUGCCCCGACUCCGAUGAGGUCAAUCACAGCUGCUUACGGUGGCUGGACAACCAGCCGGACGGCUCGGUCUUGUACGUGUCCUUCGGCAGCGGCGGCACGCUGUCCACGGCGCAGACGGCCGAGCAGAGGAUGAACGCGGUGAUGCUGUCGUCGGAUCGGGUGGGCCUGGCGUUAUGGGAGAGGCCUCCCCUCGGUAAGGACGGAGUGGUUGUCCCUCGGGAGGAGGUAGCGGCGCUGGUCAGAGAGCUUAUGGAAGGGGAGAAGGGCGCCGCGGCGCGGAAAAAGGCCGGUCACCUCCGGGAUGAGGCCGAGAUUGCUUCGGCGCCGGGUGGGCCUCAGGAUCGAGCUCUCGCGGUAGUGGCUGGCAUGGUUUCCUUGCAUCGGAAGAGCCGCGCUGUGUAA
rnacentral:rRNA from 1 species